rnacentral:rRNA from 1 species
GUGGGGAAUUUUGGACAAUGGGCGCAAGCCUGAUCCAGCAAUGCCGCGUGCAGGAAGAAGGCCUUCGGGUUGUAAACUGCUUUUGUACGGAACGAAACGGUCCUGGUUAAUACCUGGGGCUAAUGACGGUACCGUAAGAAUAAGCACCGGCUAACUACGUGCCAGCAGCCGCGGUAAUACGUAGGGUGCAAGCGUUAAUCGGAAUUACUGGGCGUAAAGCGUGCGCAGGCGGUUUUGUAAGACAGGCGUGAAAUCCCCGGGCUCAACCUGGGAAUUGCGCUUGUGAAUGCAAGGCUGGAGUGCGGCAGAGGGGGAUGGAAUUCCGCGUGUAGCAGUGAAAUGCGUAGAUAUGCGGAGGAACACCGAUGGCGAAGGCAAUCCCCUGGGCCUGCACUGACGCUCAUGCACGAAAGCGUGGGGAGCAAACAGGAUUAGAAACCCCGGUAGUCC